rfam:Flavobacterium akiainvivens strain IK-1 scaffold00001, whole genome shotgun sequence.
UUGAGCCGUAUGAGGGGAAACUCUCACGUACGGUUCUUAGGGGGGAAAGCGGGAGUAAUCCUGCUGACCUACCCGAC